rnacentral:rRNA from 1 species
AUUGAACGCUGGCGGAAUGCUUUACACAUGCAAGUCGAGCGGCAGCGCGGGGGCAACCCUGGCGGCGAGCGGCGAACGGGUGAGUAAUGCAUCGGAACGUAUCCUGUAGUGGGGAAUAACUCACCGAAAGGUGAGCUAAUACCGCAUAAGCUCUGAGGAGGAAAGCGGGGGGACCGAAAGGCCUCGCGCUGCAGGAGCGGCCGAUGUCCGAUUAGCUAGUUGGUGAGGUAAAGGCUCACCAAGGCGACGAUAGUUAGCUGGUCUGAGAGGAUGAUCAGCCACACUGGGACUGAGACACGGCCCAGACUCCUACGGGAGGCAGCAGUGGGGAAUAUUGGACAAUGGGCGAAAGCCUGAUCCAGCAAUGCCGCGUGAGCGAUGAAGGCCUUAGGGUUGUAAAGCUCUUUUACCAGGGAUGAUAAUGACAGUACCUGGAGAAUAAGCUCCGGCUAACUCCGUGCCAGCAGCCGCGGUAAU